UGACGGCCAUAUCACAUUGAAACACCAGUUCUCAUAUGAUCACUGAAGUUAAGCAACAUUGAACCUGGUCAGUACCUAGAUGGGCGACCUCUUGGGAAUACAAG